UACGGAGGGUGCAAGCGUUAUCCGGAUUCACUGGGUUUAAAGGGUGCGUAGGAGGGCAGGGAAGUCAGUGGUGAAAUCUCCGGGCUUAACUCGGAAACUGCCGUUGAUACUCUCUGUCUUGAAUCCCGUGGAGGUGAGCGGAAUAUGUCAUGUAGCGGUGAAAUGCUUAGAUAUGACAUAGAACACCAAUUGCGAAGGCAGCUUACUACACGUACUAUUGACACUGAGGCACUGAAAGCGUGGGGAUCAAACCAGGAGU
rnacentral:rRNA from 1 species